rnacentral:rRNA from 1 species
AUUGAACGCUGGCGGCAGGCCUAACACAUGCAAGUCGAGCGGAUGAGAGGAGCUUGCUUCUCGAUUCAGCGGCGGACGGGUGAGUAAUGCCUAGGAAUCUGCCUGGUAGUGGGGGACAACGUUUCGAAAGGAACGCUAAUACCGCAUACGUCCUACGGGAGAAAGCAGGGGACCUUCGGGCCUUGCGCUAUCAGAUGAGCCUAGGUCGGAUUAGCUAGUUGGUGAGGUAACGGCUCACCAAGGCGACGAUCCGUAACUGGUCUGAGAGGAUGAUCAGUCACACUGGAACUGAGACACGGUCCAGACUCCUACGGGAGGCAGCAGUGGGGAAUAUUGGACAAUGGGCGAAAGCCUGAUCCAGCCAUGCCGCGUGUGUGAAGAAGGUCUUCGGAUUGUAAAGCACUUUAAGUUGGGAGGAAGGGUUGUAGAUUAAUACUUUGCAAUUUUGACGUUACCGACAGAAUAAGCACCGGCUAACUCUGUGCCAGCCGCCGCCGUAAAAC